GACGAACGCUGGCGGCGUGCCUAAUACAUGCAAGUAGAACGCACAGUUUAUACCGUAGCUUGCUACACCAUAGACUGUGAGUUGCGAACGGGUGAGUAACGCGUAGGUAACCUGCCUGGUAGCGGGGGAUAACUAUUGGAAACGAUAGCUAAUACCGCAUCAUAUUAAUUAUUGCAUGAUAAUUAAUUGAAAGGUGCAAUUGCACCACUACCAGAUGGACCUGCGUUGUAUUAGCUAGUAGGUGAGGUAACGGCUCACCUAGGCGACGAUACAUAGCCGACCGGAGAGGGUGAUCGGCCACACUGGGACUGAGACACGGCCCAGACGCCUACGGGAGGCAGCAGUAGGGAAUCUUCGGCAAUGGACGAAAGUCUGACCGAGCAACGCCGCGUGAGUGAAGAAGGUUGUCGGAUCGUAAAGCUCUGUUGUAAGAGAAGAACGGGUGUGAGAGUGGAAAGUUCACACUGUGACGGUAUCUUACCAGAAAGGGACGGCUAACUACGUG
rnacentral:rRNA from 1 species